AUUGAACGCUGGCGGCAGGCCUAACACAUGCAAGUCGAGCGAGCGGCGGACGGGUGAGUAAUGUCUGGGAAACCGCCUGUUGGAGGGGGAUAACUACUGGAAACGGUAGCUAAUACCGCAUACCAUCAGAUGUGCCCAGAGGGGAUUAGCUAGUGGGUGGGGUAACGGCUCACCAAGGCGACGACCCCUAGCUGGCCUGGGAGGGUGACCCGCCACACUGGAACGGAGACACGGUCCAGACUCCUACGGGAGGCAGCAGUGGGGAAUAUUGCGCAAUGGGCGCAAGCCUGAUGCAGCCAUGCCGCGUGUGUGAAGAAGGCCUUCGGGUUGUAAAGCACUUUCAGCGGGGAGGCGUUACCCGCAGAAGAAGCACCGGCUAACUCCGUGCCAGCAGCCGCGGUAAUAC
rnacentral:rRNA from 1 species